GACGAACGCUGGCGGCGUGCUUAACACAUGCAAGUCGAACGGAAAGGCCCUGCUUUUGUGGGGUGCUCGAGUGGCGAACGGGUGAGUAACACGUGAGUAACCUGCCCUUGACUUUGGGAUAACUUCAGGAAACUGGGGCUAAUACCGGAUAGGAGCUCCUGCUGCAUGGUGGGGGUUGGAAAGUUUCGGCGGUUGGGGAUGGACUCGCGGCUUAUCAGCUUGUUGGUGGGGUAGUGGCUUACCAAGGCUUUGACGGGUAGCCGGCCUGAGAGGGUGACCGGCCACAUUGGGACUGAGAUACGGCCCAGACUCCUACGGGAGGCAGCAGUGGGGAAUAUUGCACAAUGGGCGGAAGCCUGAUGCAGCAACGCCGCGUGCGGGAUGACGGCCUUCGGGUUGUAAACCGCUUUCGCCUGUGACGAAGCGUGAGUGACGGUAAUGGGUAAAGAAGCACCGGCUAACUACGUGCCAGCAGCCGCGGUGAUACGUAGGGUGCGAGCGUUGUCCGGAUUUAUUGGGCGUAAAGGGCUCGUAGGUGGUUGAUCGCGUCGGAAGUGUAAUCUUGGGGCUUAACCCUGAGCGUGCUUUCGAUACGGGUUGACUUGAGGAAGGUAGGGGAGAAUGGAAUUCCUGGUGGAGCGGUGGAAUGCGCAGAUAUCAGGAGGAACACCAGUGGCGAAGGCGGUUCUCUGGGCCUUUCCUGACGCUGAGGAGCGAAAGCGUGGGGAGCGAACAGGCUUAGAUACCCUGGUAGUCCACGCUGUAAACGGUGGGUACUAGGUGUGGGGUCCAUUCCACGGGUUCCGUGCCGUAGCUAACGCUUUAAGUACCCCGCCUGGGGAGUACGGCCGCAAGGCUAAAACUCAAAGGAAUUGACGGGGCCCCGCACAAGCGGCGGAGCAUGCGGAUUAAUUCGAUGCAACGCGUAGAACCUUACCUGGGUUUGACAUGGAUCGGGAGCGCUCAGAGAUGGGUGUGCCUCUUUUGGGGUCGGUUCACAGGUGGUGCAUGGCUGUCGUCAGCUCGUGUCGUGAGAUGUUGGGUUAAGUCCCGCAACGAGCGCAACCCUUGUUCACUGUUGCCAGCACGUUAUGGUGGGGACUCAGUGGAGACCGCCGGGGUCAACUCGGAGGAAGGUGGGGAUGACGUCAAGUCAUCAUGCCCCUUAUGUCCAGGGCUUCACGCAUGCUACAAUGGCUGGUACAGAGAGUGGCGAGCCUGCGAGGGUGAGCGAAUCUCGGAAAGCCGGUCUCAGUUCGGAUUGGGGUCUGCAACUCGACCUCAUGAAGUCGGAGUCGCUAGUAAUCGCAGAUCAGCAACGCUGCGGUGAAGACGUUCCCGGGGCU
rnacentral:rRNA from 1 species